CGCGUAGGCGGGAUAUUAAGUCUCUUGUCAAAGUGCGGGGCUCAACCCCGUGAUGCGGGAGAAACUAAUAUUCUUGAGUGCCGGAGAGGAAAGCGGAAUCCCCAGUGUAGCGGUGAAAUGCGUAGAUAUUGGGAGGAACACCAGUGGCGAAGGCGGCUUUCUGGACGGUGUCUGACGCUGAGGCGCGAAAGCCAGGGGAGCGAACGGGAUUAGAUACCCCGGUAGUCCUGGCCGUAAACGAUGGGUACUAGGUGUAGAGGGUAUCGACCCCUCCUGUGCCGGAGUUAACGCAAUAAGUACCCCGCCUGGGGAGUACGGCCGCAAGGUUGAA
rnacentral:rRNA from 1 species